GAAAAGAACUUUGAAAAGAGAGUUAAACAGUACGUGAAAUUGUUGAUAGGGAAACGAUUAAAGUCAGUCGUACCGGUGAGUAAUCAACCAAUUUGGGUGCGAUUAUGUCGGGUGAUGAGAAGCUUAACCGCCUUCGCGCUUGCGUAUUUGUGCCUUAUUGGUGUAUUUAUUCGCAUGGUAGGUUAACAUCAAUUUCGGUUAUCAUAAAAUGACGGGAGGAAUGUAGCUUUAAUCUCGUAUUAAAGUGUUAUAGCCUCUGGUAGAUGUGAUGACCGGGAUUGAGGAUUGCAACGAACCCUUCGGGGCCACCUGUCUGGCCUCUGGUGGUCGCUCUGGUGCCGAAAGCGUGCUUAUGGCAUACAAGUUGACGGUCAAUAGGUUAGAACGCGAUUACAUUCGU
rnacentral:rRNA from 1 species